UACGUAGGGUGCGAGCGUUAAUCGGAAUUACUGGGCGUAAAGCGUGCGCAGGCGGUUGUGCAAGACAGAUGUGAAAUCCCCGGGCUUAACCUGGGAACUGCAUUUGUGACUGCACGGCUAGAGUGUGUCAGAGGGGGUAGAAUUCCACGUGUAGCAGUGAAAUGCGUAGAUAUGUGGAGGAAUACCGAUGGCGAAGGCAGCCCCCUGGGAUAACGACUGACGCUGAGACGUCG
rnacentral:rRNA from 1 species